rnacentral:rRNA from 1 species
UGGGGAAUUUUGCACAAUGGGCGAAAGCCUGAUGCAGCAACGCCGCGUGCGGGAUGAAGGCCCUCGGGCUGUAAACCGCUUUCAGCAGGGACGAAUAUGACGGUACCUGCAGAAGAAGCCCCGGCUAACUACGUGCCAGCAGCCGCGGUAAUACGGAGGGGGCAAGCGUUAUCCGGAUUCAUUGGGCGUAAAGAGCGCGUAGGCGGACUGUUAAGUCAGAUGUGAAAACCGGGGGCUCAACCCGCGGCCUGCAUCUGAAACUGGCAGUCUUGAGUCUGGUAGAGGAAAGUGGAAUUCCUGGUGUAGCGGUGAAAUGCGCAGAUAUCAGGAGGAACACCAGUGGCGAAGGCGGCUUUCUGGGCCACGACUGACGCUGAGGCGCGAAAGCGAGGGGAGCGAACAG